rnacentral:rRNA from 3 species
UUCCGUAGGUGAACCUGCGGAAGGAUCAUAG